AUGCAGGAGACCUGGGUUUGAUCUCUGGGUCAGGAAGAUCGCCUGGAGAAGGGAAUGACAACCCACUCUGGUAUUCUUGCCUCGAGAAUUCCAUGAACAGAGGAGCCUGGUGGGCUACAGUCCACUGGGUCACAAAGAGUUGAACACGACUGAGUGACUAACACUUGCUGAAUGUAGGAGGCUCAGUGAGAGGUAACUUGGAGAAGAUAGGAGGGAAGAGAGUUCUAGGCAGAGGGAGUAAUGGGGUGAGUGGGACCCAGUUAGUAAUGAACUAUGUGAAGGUAUUUAUCCUAAGAGCAGUAGGAAGGGUUCUAUGCCAGGCUGGGGUCUUGGUCACUUGUGCAUCCCCAAAAGCAAAAAACGGACAGAGAAGGACCAGAGGAAGCUGGGAGACUAGUGAGGAAGGGCAAGGGAAAGGCAUGGCUGGUUGGGGUAGGGGCUGUGGCCAUGGAGAGAUCCUGGAGGUGAGGCUCGUCAAUGUGGUGAAGGCUGGGUCCUGGGCAGUGGGGGGAGAGGGAACAAGGACUCCUGGGUUCCCGCCUCUUCCGCUGGGAUGCAUGUAUGUGUGGGGAGCAGGGUGGUGGCCACGGAAAGAUGAGCUUGUUUCCUUGGAUGUGUAAGCUCCCUGAAGCAGGGAUGGGCCCUCACACUCCAUGUCUCUCCCAUGGGCCUUUAUGCCCAAGAGGAUUUCAGAAGACUUGUUCCUGGUUAAGGUGAGAAAAUUACCCCUGUUCCCCCAUCGGUCAGCAGACUUGACCAUGGACACACCCCCUUGGACUCCAAGGCUCUCUGCGUUGGGGGGUCGACCCUGUGCUCAUCUCUUGGAGGAGGCCCAGCCCCUCCUGGGGGCUCCCCGCUGGGACUGGUGUGCCGAACCUCCCUGUUCUUAACAGGACUGACUGGGGUGGGUCUCCCACCGCCUCACUGAGGCAGGCCCGGGUUUGGCCGCCCUCCCGGCUGUGUUGUAUCCAGUGGGAAACAUUUAGAAUAUGUGAACGUAAGUGGCUGCUGGAGAGAAAUCUACAAUUUCUCCUAUUAUUGGGAAAGAGCUAGGCUACCAUAGGCUACCAGAUGUUCUAUGUCAUAUAAUGGUAUGUUUUAUGGCAAAUGAAAAUAUAUAUAAAAUCUGUACCCAGAGAGCUCCCUACUUGCUAAAAGGGGGCUAGAUCCUUCUUUUUAUUCUUACCCUUUUCAGAUUUUUAGGCAAGAAUUCCCUUUCGGGCAAUGAACUUAUCUGCCAAGUUGGGGCCCAGGGGGAACCCUUAUGGGGGACUCGUAAACCCCGUCUUUUGAGGAAAUCUUGGGGCUGAGGCCACAUUCAGCCCCACGUGUUUACACAAUACUCUCUCUCAGCUCUGAGGGGCCAUUAGAGUUAAUUGGGUGAAUAAUCUGUGUUUAAAAAGUCCCCAAAUACGUAUUUACAUAAUCCACGCUUUGCCCAAGCCUGCUCAAGCCUAUUUGUGGGAUCUGGAGUGGAUCUGGGCUGAGCGUCUUCCUCCCGUGCUUCUAGAGCAGCUUCUCCUGUUGGUGACCAUCCUUCGGUGAGGACGGGGACAGGCAGGCUUCCCUCCUGGCUGAUGGCGUGGUGGGGCCUAUUAGUGUGGGGUCUUCCUGAGCCUUGGCCAAACACGUGUUUUGGAUCACUGUCCUGAGAGAUGCUGUAUGGGGAAAGAGGUUCCAUGGUUCAGUAAGUUUGGGAAGCACUGCAUCUUAUCUCCUCUCUUGGAGAUUCCCUGUGCUCAUUAUUCCACCAGGACUCCAAGAAGUCCUACAGUAGAGAGGUGGAUUUAGCUGUGUCUAAAUCCAGCUUCCUUCAGAUGUUAUCUGAUCUCAGCAUCUCCAUCCCUAACUCUGAUGAAUAGCCCAAAGAACUAGCCUUCUGUAGAAACACAUUGGGAAACAGCAAUCCACCCCCACUCCGUCCUUUUUUUUUUUUUUUUUUUAAAAACCAGGGGGCACUUCGAGUUCUGGCCACCCACCCAGACAUUGUGUGUACUGCCUUUGGUCGAGGCCCUUGUGUGCAGUCAUGUUGGCUGUGCACACACAACCCCCAAGAAUGCUUUUCACAUGACCACAGCCUUGCUGGUUCUUGGAACAGGAAAGACUCCAGGCAUUAGAGGCAGACCCAGGGUGUUGCAUGGAGACACGGCAUUCUCAGUUAGGGAGCCCUUACAGCCUGCCCACUCCUGUAGUUCUGUGCCCCGUUAGUUGCUGGCAUCCUUUCUAUAACAUUGUCUGUAUGGGUCACUCCAGCCACAGGAAUUCUCUGGGCUGGUUUGGGCACCAGGAAGGAUGAAUUCAGAUGCACUCAGGCCAAGCCUGCUUCCAAUAAAAGCUGAGCACUCACCCUCGGGAGUAGCCCUGCUUAUCUGUCUUCAUGAGGUUCUCAGUCUUGGCUGCACAUGAGAAUCACCUGGAGAGAUUAAAAAAAAAAAAAAAUCCUGAUGUUGGGUCAGAACUCUGAUUUGUUAAAUCAGAAUCUGGGUGGGUAAGAAACCUGGCUCAAAUAAAUGGUCAAGCUUCCAGGUGAUUCCAAUGUGGCUCCAUGAGGAGGUGGAGCGCAGCCACACUGGAGCUUUGUCAGGAGAGCUGGCGGGGUAGGAAGGGGAGCAGAAGUUCACGGCGCUACUCCGGGCUCAACCACGACUGCAUGAAGGACCAGACCGCCCACCUUCUCCAGUCCUGCCUGGGCAGCCCUCUGCAGUGUGGCAAGUCCCUGGGUGAGGAAGAAGAAGCGUCCUGCCGUGUUUACCCUAGGGACGCCUUUGUUGGGUGGUCCUGAGAAGGAUGACGGCCAACAUUACCAAGCAGGGUGUCUGCUGUGGGCCAGGUACUGUAAGGCUGCUGCUCCAGACCACCUUGUGCUUCAUGAAGGGAUUUGCGUGAUGCGUUGGAAGACUGCUCUGGGCGAGGCGGAGGAGGAGGAUGGGAGUCAUACCUGUGCGGGGUUGCAUACCCAGGAUGGAUGUACAUCUUGCAGAAGACCUGGCCUGAGGAAAGGCCCAUCACAGGGCACAGAGGAAGAGAGUUCUGGUGCAGGACCCACCUCCUCUGCCGUCACUACCUGUCCAUCAGUGAUGAUGCUCUUAGAGAUCACAGGCUUGCUUCACCACUGACCCCAGGAUUCCCUCCAGCAAACAAACGUCCACCCUGGCAGUCAUAGGUCCUGCCUCCCACAUCUUUGUUUCUCCUCCUGGCCAUGGGGUAGGACUGGGUUUCACUCUCCCCUGAUGUUCAGUGUGGCCAUGUAAUUCGUCUUAUUUUCUCUUUCCCUCUGGCACAGAAGUCCAGAGAAUAUCUAAUCUGUCUUCUUGGAACCCAGAGUGAAGACGGCAGGGCAGAAACCCCAGCCGACCUGCAGUGGGUGUGUUGUGUAGGCUUGAGGCUGUUUGUUAUUGCAGCAUCACCGAGCCCAUCCUGAUGGUCUAAGUGAGGGAAAAUUCCCCAUGCCUAGCCUAAGAAUCAAAACCUAAGAGCUUAGAAAGGUAGCAAAUGGCUUUUCACAGCACCUCUUUGGUCACUAAGUACCACUCCCACUUUAGCACGUAACCCUGUCUGUCUUCAUGUGCUGUACGUAUUUGCUCAGUCGUGUCCGACUAUUUGUGACCCCACGGACUCCUCUGUCCAUGGAAUUCUCCAGGCAAGAAUACUGGAGUGGGUUGCCAUGCCCUUCUGCAGGGGAUCUUCCCAACCCAGGGAUCAAACCUGAGUCGCCUGCAUUGCAGGUGGAUUCUUUACUGUCUGAGCCACCAGGGAGUUUUAUAUCUGUUUACAGGCUUAUUAUGUCUCCCCUCUAGAAAGCCAGCUUCGUGAAGGCCAGAACCCCAACCCUCAGGUUUAUAUCUGAGUAGCCAGGGUGUACUGCGGAGCUGGUCCAGGAUGGGAGGCCCACAAGGACUCGAUGAGUCCCUGGAUUGGGAGGUCCGAGGGGUGUGGUGACCUAAGGUGGAGACUUGUAAAUAUACUUGUUUGGUGCUGAC
ensembl:lncRNA